rnacentral:rRNA from 1 species
GUGGGGGUGGUUUUUUUUACAAAAAACUGCUUACAUAUAUUUAUAUA